rnacentral:rRNA from 1 species
GUCGAGAAUUUUUCACAAUGGGGGAAACCCUGAUGGAGCGACGCCGCGUGGAGGAUGAAGGCCUUCGGGUUGUAAACUCCUGUCAUGCGGGAACAAGCAAGUGAUAGUACCGCAAGAGGAAGAGACGGCUAACUCUGUGCCAGCAGCCGCGGUAAUACAGAGGUCUCAAGCGUUGUUCGGAUUCAUUGGGCGUAAAGGGUGCGUAGGUGGUGAUGCAAGUCUGGUGUGAAAUCUCGGAGCUCAACUCCGAAAUUGCACCGGAUACUGCGUGACUCGAGGACUGUAGAGGAGAUCGGAAUUCACGGUGUAGCAGUGAAAUGCGUAGAUAUCGUGAGGAAGACCAGUUGCGAAGGCGGAUCUCUGGGCAGUUCCUGACACUGAGGCACGAAGGCCAGGGGAGCAAACGGGAUUAGAUACCCUAGUAGUCC